rnacentral:antisense_RNA from 1 species
UUUCGCAUUGGCUUUGCGGGCGAUGAUGCCGUUGCCCACCGCGUGCAGCAGGUGCGUUUUACCCAGGCCAGUUCCACCGUA